rfam:Triticum aestivum genome assembly, contig: Triticum_aestivum_CS42_TGACv1_scaffold_130292_2BL
GACAUACUCCCUCCGUACGGAAGUACGGAAUUACUCGUCCAAGAAAUGAAUGUAUCUGAAUGUAUUUUAGUUGUAGAUACAUCCAUUUUUAUCCAUUUUUGUGACAAGUAAUUCCGAACGGAGGGAGCACAUG